UGCUGCAGUCCAUGGGGUCGCAAAGAGUCGGACACGACCAAGCGACUGAACUGAACUGAGAGACCUCUUUGCCCGGAAGAAAGUGGUGACAGGGGGAAUGCAUCUAGUGCCCUGGCAAUGCUUUACUGACCGUCUGUUCUAGAGUGAAGUCUGCUCAGAUCCAUCUGUCUCCUUACUAUUUCAACCAAUGUAUUCCCUCUUACAAAAAAAAGUGCACUCAGGUUGGAAAAGUGUGGAAAGAGCAGGUGAACUCACUGUCAGUGGCCAUAUUAUCCCUCACUGUUCAUUGUCUUCAUCACUAAGACCCACCAGGCAAAUCUUUUUGUGUAUUAAGGAAGGAAAUCGGAAGCUGUCUCCAUUGUCUUCUAAACACCAUAAUUAGAAGCUUGAAAAGCUUACCACAACCAAACCCAAUAAAGUCUCAUUAUGAACAAAAUAUUCUACUGUGGCUCAACAAGUGACCUUGUGUAGUCCAACGUGAUGAAGCCUUCAGACUUCCUGCCCCAUUAGGGCUUCAGUUCCUGAGGAGAGAUGUCAACAUAACGAACUCUGAGGAUGCAAGACAGCGACCCAGCUGAUGCAGAAUGGUGACCCAGCUGACCGAGGGGCACUCUGCUUCACUGGCUCACUGUGAUGGCGGGGUGGGGGCCGGAGGGGCCUGCAGCUUCCUGUCUGUCUACCUUGCUUGGCUCAGCUUUGGGACAAUGCUUCCCAGGAUAGUUCCCAAUGUGGAAUUCUCCCUGAUUAUAAAAAUAAAAAGGAAUCAG